AAACUUUCAGAUGUGACACCUAUGCAGCUUAAUCUCCUUGAGCAAUUUUGUGCACUGCCCUUUUCCCUUCCACCGCAUGCAUUCAAUCAAUAAUUUCACAUCCAAUCAUCAAAAAGCACUUCCACAAGCUCAAAAACCAGUGCAAUCUAAAAUGUCGGUAUAAAAAUUAGGCAAAACCCAUUUUUGGAUUCAAUAGAUAAACUCGAGAGCUCUAGGGCUCAAAAAUGAGUUUUUCCUAAAAUUUAUCUUCAACUUUUAAUGUGAACAAUUCUUUUACUCCCUUUUGACAACUUCCUCUAGAUUUG
rnacentral:misc_RNA from 1 species